rnacentral:ncRNA from 24 species
UUUCCGUAGGUGAACCUGCGGAAGGAU